rnacentral:rRNA from 1 species
AAGCACAUUUCUUGUGUGACCGCGUACUUUUUGUAGAACGGGCCAACGAGUUACGUUAAGUAGCAAGGUUAAGCACUUAAGGUGUGGAGCCGUAGCGAAAGCGAGUUUUAACUGAGCGUUCAGUUACGUGACGUAGACACGAAACCGGGCGACCUACCCAUGAGCAGGAUGAAGCGAAAGUAAAAUUUCGUGGAGGUCCGAACCCACGAGCG